rnacentral:rRNA from 1 species
GACGAACGCUGGCGGCGUGCUUAACACAUGCAAGUCGAACGGAAAGGCCCCUUUGGGGGUCCUCGAGUGGCGAACGGGUGCGUAACACGUGAGUAACCUGCCCUUGACUUCGGGAUAACUUCAGGAAACUGGGGCUAAUACCGGAUAGGAAUCCUUGCUGCAUGGUGGGGGUUGGAAAGCUUCGGCGGUUUUGGAUGGACUCGCGGCUUAUCAGCUUGUUGGUGGGGUAGUGGCUUACCAAGGCUUUGACGGGUAGCCGGCCUGAGAGGGCGACCGGCCACAUUGGGACUGAGAGACGGCCCAGACUCCGACGGGAGGCAGCAGUGGGGAAUAUUGAACAAGGGGCGGAAGCCUGAUGCAGCAACGCCGCGGGCGGGAGGACGGCCUUCGGGUUGAAAACCGAUUUCAGCAGGGGCGAAGCUUGUGGUGACGGUACCUGCAGAAGAAGCACCGGCUAACUACGUG